rnacentral:rRNA from 1 species
AGUAGCCGCGGUAAUACGUAGGUGGCAAGCGUUGUCCGGAAUUAUUGGGCGUAAAGCGCGCGCAGGUGGUUUAAUAAGUCUGAUGUGAAAGCCCACGGCUCAACCGUGGAGGGUCAUUGGAAACUGUUAAACUUGAGUGCAGGAGAGAAAAGUGGAAUUCCUAGUGUAGCGGUGAAAUGCGUAGAGAUUAGGAGGAACACCAGUGGCGAGGGCGGCUUUUUGGCCUGUAACUGACACUGAGGCGCGAAAGCGUGGGGAGCAAACAGGAUUAGAUACCCGAGUAGUCCCUGUCUCUUAUACA